rnacentral:rRNA from 1 species
UCUCAGUUCGGACUGGAGUCUGCAACCCGACUCCACGAAGCUGGAUUCGCUAGUAAUCGCGCAUCAGCCACGGCGCGGUGAAUACGUUCCCGGGCCUUGUACACACCGCCCGUCAAGCCAUGGGAGCCGGGGGUACCUGAAGUGCGUAACCGCGAGGAGCGCCCUAGGGUAAAACUGGUGACUGGGGCUAAGUCGUAACAAGGUAGC